rfam:Haemophilus influenzae Rd KW20, complete genome.
CAAAAUGCUUUUUUAAAAGCAACCCAUCUUUCUUUGCCAGUUUGUUU